rnacentral:rRNA from 1 species
GAUGAACGCUGGUGGCGUGCCUAACACAUGCAAGUCGAGCGAUUCUCUUCGGAGAAUGGCGGCGGACGGUUGCGUAACGCGUGGGUAACCUGCCCUGUACACCCUGCUAACAUACCGAAAGUUAUUCUAAUACGCGAUAACAUGCUUUUAUCGCAUUGUAGAAGUAUCAAAGCUUUUGCGGUACAGGAUGGAACCGCUUCUGAUUAGCUAGUUGGUGAGGUAACGGCUCACUAAGGCGACGAUCAGUAGCCGACCUGAGAGGGUGAUCGGCGACAUUGGAACUGAGACACAGUACAAAAUCCUACGGGAGGCAGCAGUGGGGAAUAUUGCAAAAUGGGCGAAAGGCUGAUGCAGCAACGACGCGUGAGCGAUGAAGGCAGUCGGGUAGUAAAGCGCUGUCAACAAGGAAGAUAAUGACGGUACUUGAGGAGGAAGCCACGGCUAACUACGUG